GCGAGAAUAGCUUAGUUGGUUUGAGCAUUACCUUGCCAUGGUAAGGGUUGCGGGUUCGAAUCCCGUUUCUCGCU
rnacentral:tRNA from 1 species